rnacentral:lncRNA from 1 species
AAAGAAAGAAAGAAAGAAAGAAAGAAAGAAAGAAAGAAAGAAAGAAAGCAAACAAAGGAAGGAAGGAAGGAAGGAAGGAAGGAAGGAAGGAAGGAAGGAAGGAAGGAAGGAAGGAAAGAGGGCAUUGCUUCAAAUCUGUUGGAGAUAUGUAAUUUAAAAAUCUCAUUGGAUAUUUCUAAUACACUACUAAUGAUACCUUAGAAACUGGCUCAAUGAUAGAGGGAUUUCUAAGCAGUGUAAUUUCUACAUUCGAUGAACAGCUCCAUGAAUAUGCAAUAUAAAGAAUGAUUGCAGCUAACAUUGUUUCUAAUAAGGCUUAUUCCAAUCUCUGGGUUGCUUUUAAUAAUCACAUAGUCAUUCAGAAGAUUUGUUCUCCUGCUCCAUUUUGAAGGCUGUUCUGUGCUUCAUAAAAUCAGUUCAUAUAAAACCACUGAGUUGAUUUUUCAUUUUGCCUUUUCUGGAUACCUAGGGAUACAAUUGCAACUUGUCAUUUAUUCUAUAUGCAUUUUUGAAAGAUAACAUUUUUUUGUAUUUUGGGGCUGUUGUAAAUAAAAUGCUGUAAUUACAUAGCUUAUAAACAACAAACAACUGUCACAUCCCAACCUAGAGGCUGAGAAGGCCAAGUAGAGCCAGCAGAGGUGGGUUCUAGUGUGAGCACACACUUCCUGCCUCACAGAUGAUGGUCUUGCUGUGCUUUCUCCUGUCAGAUGGGCAAAGGAUGUUCUUGGAGGCCUCUUUUAUGAGCACAAUAAGCCAAACCUGAGAGUCAGAGCCCUCAAUGUGAGCCCUUCACACAGGCUCCGCCACCACACACCCCCGUCUUGUGACUAAAUCUCAACAUAAUGGACUGGGAGAGUGGAUGGCACAAGGGUUCUGACUGUCACACCUGGGUGCGUGUCAUUCAAUAAGAGCAAUGAUGACUUGUUCCACCUAGAAAGUGCUCUGAAUAGAGAGGCAUCUCAAUGCAAUUUCUUCACCAUUACUCACUCAUCUUUUUGUGAUAUCACUUUCCUUUAUUAUCCAGAAACAUAAGUGGAGGAGGGAGAGCUACAGGGCAUGGAUCCACAGAAGAGGAAGUAGGAUAUCACUGUGAUAUAUUCUUUGUUUGUUUGUUUGUUUGUUUGUUUGUUUGUUUGAACUGAGUGUCAGAGAUCCUAGCAGGGUUCUACUCUAUGGACUGGAUGCCUCUUCUGUGAGGUCUUGAAUUCAUGGAAGUGAUUAAAAUCUGAUUUGGAUAGAUUAGCAUAUCUCAGAGAUUUCUAAUUAACUGAGAUUCUCUUCCCCUUGUCUUUUUUUCUCCCUCUUUCUUUUCAUUUUCAUUUUCAUUUUUUUUCUUGCCUUGAUUUUUGUUUUUAUUAAGUCAUUUUUUUUCUUUGUUAGGCAGAAUCUCACAUCAUAACCCCAAAUGACCUGUUACUCACCAUGUGGCCCAGCUGUCUUCAAACUCACCAGCCUCCUGCCUUAGCCUUCUAAAUGCUUGGAUUACAGGCAUGACCCACCAUAACUGGCUUUGUUUUAGUUUCAGAGAAGAUGAAACUGAUGUGCGUCAAAAAGUAAACUACCCACAUUUUAACUGGGCACAUUCCUGUCAAUCUGAUGAGAAUCUAUUUCAUACCCUGCUUUAGCUGGUAGUCUGUCAAGGAAAUGAGCUGAACAUGUCUGUGUACAGCUUUUGUGCCAUCCCUGGAUGAGCGAGCUGUCUGCCUCUAUGUUCUCCACAAAAUGGAAUAUAGCUGUACACCCAAGCCAAGUUAUGGAGGCUGGGAAGACCUAGAAUGUGGCAUCACUAUUUGGUUAUUUAGAAAAUUGUUACCUCAAAAAUGACCUAGGGGUCCUUAGAAUAAUAACACACAGAAGAAUAGCCUCAUUUUUCUGUUGGGCCCAGGAAACCAUGCCGAUUACCGACCGAGCUCUCAAUGGAAAAAUGCAGUCGGCGUGAACCACGCACGAACACAGCAGAGAAAGAAGAAAACACACACCACGAGGAACCCUAAUAGGACAAUACAUUAUAAGCCUCAUGGUACAUCCACUUGGUGUGCUGGGAGAGUCAGGAUGAGGACCUGAGAAGAACAGCAGCUUGAACCUGACUUCAUUUAACAGCCCACUGCCCUCUUGCCAAGAACCCAUCACAGACCUUCCCAGAAGAGAGGGAUGAGCCUCACCUAUGAAUAAGUCCUCAGAAACUCAAAUUUGAUUCUAAUGGAUUGUUUUCUCAGAAAGACUGAGCAUGUCCCCCCACAUCUCUGUCAUUUCCCACAGUAGUAACCUCUGCAGAUGCCACAUAGAAAACAAAACAAAACAAAAAAACAUGAGGUUGGUGGGCAGAUAGGCAGGGUAUAAACAAACAGCCUUGUAACCCAGAAGCUGUGUGAUAUACAGUAAACUUCACAACACUGAAAAGAUGUCCUAUCUGUUAAAAUGGGGUAAUAACAACUACCCGAAUGUUUAGGAAUAGAACUUCAAUAAAUGAUACAUUUUAUAGUACAGCAGACCAUCCUGUAAAGGUUUCAUCCUUCACUGUGGUGAUAAAUAUCCCAAACCACAUUGAAAAGCAUUGCAUCUACAUUUAUCUACACUGUAACUGUACUGUAAAUCAUGGGGGAGGGGAGAAUCAUAAAAACACCACCUGUCACCGUGUCAUUAAAGCAAGUUGGAAGUGAUACUUACAGAAACACAGCAAGAGCACCCCCAGUCACACAGUUCAAUCUCUUAGCAAGCGUUUUCUUUCUAGCCCAGUGGUUCUCAGUUUGGAAUUUUUGGCACUGCCUAGAGAUAGUUUUGUUGUUAAAACUGAGAAAAGAGCCGGGCGUGGUGGCACACGCCUUUAAUCCCAGCACUCAGGAGGCAGAGGCAGG